rnacentral:ncRNA from 1 species
UGUUUGGAGAGUUUGAUCCUGGCUCAGGACGAACGCUGGCGGCGUGCUUAACACAUGCAAGUCGAACGGAAAGGCCCCUUUUUUGGGGUGCUCGAGUGGCGAACGGGUGAGUAACACGUGGGUGACCUGCCCUGCACUUC